CAUCCUGCAGCCAUGAAAUCCAACACGACAAUGUUGACGCACAACAGAAUGAUUCUCAGCUGUUCUUAGUAACAACUGAGCUUAUCCUUCUAGUGCUGCUGUUCCAUGUUUUAAGGGUGCAAUCAGGCCAACUAUAAGCCGGAGCCAUUAAGACAAAGGACAAAUUGGCUAACACAGUCAUAAACACAUGAUUGCACAUCUUCUGCAUUAACAGCUGAAGUAUCUCCUGAGCAUUUUUUGCAUGUUAGAUGUUUCAGAUUACUGGACCCCCUGGGUUUGAGGAGGUGAUGGAAUGGUUAGGAUCGUGGGUGACAGGAUCCCAUAAACCACAUGACAACCUUAUUUAUGCAAUAUCUCAGUUUAAUUUGAGUGCCUACCAAGCGGUUUGUCCUGUAUGAUAAGCAAAUACAAUUUUGUUAGUUCAGUCUAUAAAGUUCCAUCCAUCCACCUUCCAUUCUGUUACAGGGUCAUGGGAGGCCUGGAAACUGUCACAGGCCCAAGGUUGGCUUACACCAUGGGUGGAAAGACAGUCAAUCCCAGGGUGGAAACUGGAGUGCUUAAAGGAACCCGCUUAACACAGCGAGAACAUGCAAACUCGACGUGCGGAACUGAGGAUCAGAGAGGGGAUCAGAGGUCGACGCUGGCAAGAGCAGACCUGCGACAUCCUGGUGACCUUUUACCUCCUUGGCUGACCUCGCAGUGACCGUACCGGGCCAAUGGUCUGAGCAGUUUUACACUCCUUCUCACGCGGUCAUUCCCCUGACUUCAGCAAAACCCCUUUCUCCUUCUCCCGACAACUCUGGAGAAGAAACCCACCAAAUCUAGAUUCGGUUUAUUUUUUCAGGUGAGCAAACUAUAUCAAAUGUACUGGUUUCUCAGUUGUUUCUAAUUAGGCUUCUGGAAUUCUGCUCUCUCGUCCGCAGAAUGGACCCGGUCGACCC